GAUGAACGCUGGCGGCGUGCCUAAUACAUGCAAGUCGAGCGAACGGACGAGAAGCUUGCUUCUCUGAUGUUAGCGGCGGACGGGUGAGUAACACGUGGAUCACCUACCUAUAAGACUGGGAUAACUUCGGGAAACCGGAGCUAAUACCGGAUAAUAUUUUGAACCGCAUGGUUCAAAAGUGAAAGACGGUCCUGCUGUCACUUAUAGAUGGAUCCGCGCUGCAUUAGCUAGUUGGUAAGGUAACGGCUUACCAAGGCAACGAUGCAUAGCCGACCUGAGAGGGUGAUCGGCCACACUGGAACUGAGACACGGUCCAGACUCCUACGGGAGGCAGCAGUAGGGAAUCUUCCGCAAUGGGCGAAAGCCUGACGGAGCAACGCCGCGUGAGUGAUGAAGGUCUUCGGAUCGUAAAACUCUGUUAUUAGGGAAGAACAUAUGUGUAAGUAACUGUGCACAUCUUGACGGUACCUAAUCAGAAAGCCACGGCUAACUACGUG
rnacentral:rRNA from 1 species